rnacentral:misc_RNA from 1 species
AAGUCGUAACAAGGUUUCCGUAGGUGAACCUGCGGAAGGAUCAUUAUCACGUUAUCCACGUAUCAACCAUUGUGAACUAGUAUUAGACCUUUGGAUUUAGAAAGGUAGUGUUAUGUUAAACCGUUAUCAAACAAUAAUGAUUGGAAAUUGUUGAGGUUUAAUGCGACCAAACAAAUUCGUUUGUUUACUUUCUGAUUCAAAGUGUAUUUUUUUUUCAAUCAAUUAUUUCAUUAACCAUUUAAACCCAAAAUUUUUCUAAAUUUUGAACUGAUUUAAUUUCUUACUCUCUAAACAAGAGAAGAAAUAAAUGAUUACGAAACAUAAGAACAACUCUUAGCAACGGAUAUCUUGGUUCUC